CACUUCAUGUUAUAGUAACUUUGUUAGUAUAUUUUAAACUUUUCUAGUUUUGAGUUAUUUUAUGUCAAUAAAUAAAAAUAUGUCAAAAAUCAUUUUAACUCUCCUGCUGCUAGGAGUCGCAUUAAAUUCUUCUAAUGGUGAUGUCCUAAACGAUCUCAUGCAUUUGGAUCAAAUCGAUUUGAGUGGUUUUGAAAUAUUGGGAAUACUUUUGAAACCCGAUGAGCCAAUUGAAUUAAAAGUGGGCGAAAUUAUUUUAAAUCGUUUGUUGCACAACAUGAGUAAACGUGGCGAUGAUCUUCAUAUGGAAGUGGAUUCAGCCUCUUCAUUUAAUUUGGAUCAGGUUAUCACAAUCGAUGCCCAAUUAUCAUCAAAUUCUGAAGAUUCAAGUUCUGUUGAACAAAAAUCGCAAAAGUGUAAAGUAACAAUUACUCUGCAUUUGUUGGCUAAAACACGGAUGUGUCAUUCGCUUGUGAAGGUCAACCAACCAUUGAGAAACAAUUCGAGUGGAACAAAUAAGCGUGGCAAAUAUUUUUUGGAAAGGAGAAAAUACAAAAAAAAAAAAAAAAAAAACAUUUAAGAAAUUCCAGUUUAAUUGUUUACUUCUUUUAUUUGAAAACUAGUUAAAACAAGAAGCGGUCAAUCAUGACUCUAUGCCUCUUUUUAUUUUUACACAAUAUUCAAAUUCAGUUGUAACAAAAAUGCAUAUUACAAUUUUUAUAUGGAGAAAAUGUACUCAUUUUAUGACAAAAUACAAUUUUAAAGAUAUAGAACA